UAGUCCUUUGAAGGUUGAUACCAUGCUGUCAGAGACCAACACAGAAGGGGAAAGUAAGGCUCCAUAAAACCCAGAGAAGAGAUUAUAAAAAGUUCCUCUUUGGGUACUGGAUGCAGUCAAGAGG
ensembl:snoRNA